rnacentral:lncRNA from 1 species
UCUUCUUCUUCCUCACAUCACCAGCCCUAUUUAAACCCCCCUCAUCCCCCCCAUUUCCUCUCACCACUCAAACCCAAUCCAAGCCCUCCAUCUCCCACAACCCAAAUCCAAGCCCUCCAUCUCCAGAGCUUCCACCUCUCACCAAUGGCGCGCGCAUCAGCAGCCCAGCUCGUCCUGCUCGCAGCCAUGGCGGCCCUGCUCCUCUCCGCCUUCGUCACCGACGCGGCCAUCAGCUGCGGCCAGGUGAACUCGGCGGUGGGGCCGUGCCUGAGCUACGCCAGGGGGACGGGCGCGUCCCCGUCGGCGGCGUGCUGCAACGGCGUGAAGAGCCUGGCGGCGGCGGCAAAGAGCUCCGCCGACAAGAAGGCGGCGUGCGCGUGCCUCAAGAGCGCCGCGGGCAGGAUGAGCGGGCUCAACGCGGGGAACGCCGCCGCCAUCCCCUCCAAGUGCGGCGUCAGCAUCCCUUACACCAUCAGCCCCUCCGUCGACUGCUCCAGGGUCAACUAGAGAGAUCGAGAGAUCGGCCGUCUUCUCCGGCUCCGGCGCCGGCGGGCGGCGGCCAUGGACGUACUGGAGAGUGUGAGCAUAUAUAUUUAUACGACGAAUAAAAGUCUGCCACGUGGCGGGUAGCUGCCACGUAGAUGCAUGCAUGCAUGCGUUGCGUGCAUGAGUGCUGCGAGCUAGGCACACGCCAUGUUGUUGUUGUGUAUCGAUGUGUGUUUGUUUGAAUGUUCCUGUUUUCCGUUAAAUUUGGCUCUCCUUUUUGAAGGAGACACGUCAUGUGCUACACAUCUCUUGAUAUUUAUCUACCACAUGUUUGAAAUAUUGAUUGUGCCAUCUGAUUCCUUUUGUGAAGAGGGGAAUGUGUUUAGUUGAAGGAGAAGAAUUUUCAGAUGAUGUGGAACGGUCUAAAUUAAUGUAUAUAUCCUCAGAUAUUUGAAAACCAAUCACACACAGAACAAGCAUCAAAUUAACACCUAAUAAGGCGUGCAUCAAAUUAUGGGGGAGCUUACCAUGCAUAUAUAAGGAGGAGACAUUCUAAUACUCCAUAAGAUUCCUUAGAAAAAAAAGAAGGAAUCUACACAAGAAUGGGCAGAGAAUGGAAGACUCUUGUAGGUGUUCUAAACAACACACGCACAAAAACGAACUCAAGAAUGAGAUCAGCAGAAAUCGUGUGUUUCUUAUAAAAGCAUAGUGGUGUGUUAUUAUUGUUGGUUAUUUCAUCCACCAUAUACCUUGUUGUCUUUUUUUUCUGAAGAGGUUUUUUUAUUCAAAAAAGAAAAUGAUCCCCAGUCUCUACAUCAAUCGAGCCACACAGCCAAAAAAUUGUACUCCCUCCGUCCUAUAUUAAGUGACUCAAAUUUGACAAAAUAUGAAUGUAUCUAUACCUAAAAGGCGUCUAGAUACAUGUAAUAGAAAUUCACUUAGUAUGAGACCGAGAAGUAUAUCUUUUGGAACGAAGAGACGACUAGGUAUCAACGCUGCGAUCAUUCUUUCUUCGACUACAACUACUGACAAGACCGUAAAUUUGCCACUCGGAUGAUUUGAUGAUAUGUUGAAUAAUAAUUGACUAGAGAGAUUAGAUAACUCUCGAUCGACCAUCCUCUCCACCGAUUUUCUUCUUCUCGGUCGAUCGUCUGACAGUAUUUAGUGCACCACCCUGCACACACAUAGUGUAUUAAUCAAGCCUUGUAAACCAAACCGAUUAUAAGUUGAGCGAGGAGCAAAGUUCCCAGCGAGAAUUAGUGACAACUAAGCUAUCCUGGUUGUACUCCCACGAUAGUUGAAGAAGAGAUUGACACAUGUCUCUUUUGAAAUCGAAUAGACACGGUCUUACGAGUUGGCACGAAAAGUCUAUAAUAAGGUCAAAGUUGGCAGCCGGUCUUAAUUCAUGUGUACUCCAGGAACGAAAGGACCCAAGAGAGAUAGAAAGAAAAUGCAGAGAGAUAACUGAGCUGAGCAGGCGGCUGGCAUGGACUGACCCAUCAUCUUCCAUACAUGCAUGUUCUUCAGAAAACAAAUCCAGGCAUUGACGUGCAGAUCUAAUGGAUGGGCCGCCAGAUAUUCGUCUCUGUUCAUCGAUCUCAUCUUGAUCGGUCAGGUCGUCAGGAUAGAUAUAUCACAUGCACGCACGCACGCUUGGCCCAUACGUACGUCCACCCCUUGCUUCCCUGUCGGAUCUGCAGGCAUAAGAAAUUUCUUCAUUACAAGAGAGUAAAGUAAAGCCCUAGCAAUUCACACGUGUAAAGAGAGAGAGAGAGAGAAGAUUUUUUUUUAAUUCUUUUCAAUACCUUGCUUACAGCUCCCAAUUAACUUAUUUCCAGCAAUUGCCAUUAGUGGCAUCCUGCACCUGCAAAUGGUGCACAUCUCAUCGAUGUUGAGCACCAGAUGUGUGUAUGUGGCCGAUUAAACAGGAGUAGGUAAAUGUGGACAACUGGUUGGACAAUGCAGAAAUGAGUGGAUCAUGUUCAGAAAACUAACUCAUUUCUCACAUUUUGUUUCAGUGUCGUAAAGGCUGUAAAAACAAUGGAAUGCUGUAGUGUCAAGGAAAAUUUAGCGAGGCUCCUUUUCGUAUGUUUAUAUGCUUCGAUGAAUGUAGCAGCAAGUAACUAAAUACCUUGCCGCAAAAUCAACAGACAACAGAGCCCCUGAAACAGGCUUCGCAGCGGUUUUCAAAACUGUGAUGCUGACUCCUCCAAAACUAGAACUGAAACAGUUUUUCCAGACCAUCGAAACAUAGCUAGCCAGAUUCAGUAAGUUCAGCAAACAAAAGUGACACCGCCAAAAUGGCCAGUUUUCGUUUUGAUUGUUUGUAAACAAGGUGUUUCUUUGAUAACUGUGAUGCUUACUCCUCCAAAACUAGAACUGAAAUAAGCAAUCCGACUGAAAGAAAAUGAAGCUUAAUUUUCAAGGGUUUUGGAACACCACACCGUUAAAACAGGCGAUUUUCAGCUCAACAGGCCAUCUCAAGUAUGAUGUGUCAACAGAUUGAGGAGCUCAGCACGGUUACGAACUUGCCAGUUUUCUUGGGUCUUCACUUGGAGGAUCAGAAGCGAUAACGGUCUAGAAUAUUACAUCAAGCUGCAACUGAAAAGAUGAAGAUUGUGAUUGUCACUCACAGUAUUCAGAUAUAUGACACAGCCAAAAGGAGGAAUGCUCAGUUACCUGUUGGAGCUGCGGUCUGGCUGUAAACUGAAUUCGCCAGAUUAGGCUCCUGGAAUUGAAGCCGGUCAUUGUCUUCUCCAGUUUGUGGCGGAGAAUAUUUACUAUGUUGCAUCAACCUGACUAUGUGCGGCAUGCUUCCAAACACCAGGUUCAAUCACCUUCGUUCUUAGAUGCUCGACAACAUCCCAUCUCUUUGCUUCUGCAUAAACAUUUGAUACUGUGAUGACAUCCCCAUCGUCAAUUGGCAUCAACUGAUGCAGUUCAUGAAAAGCCUUGUUAGCAAGGUCAAUGUGCCCGUGCACUCGGCAUGCAGCCAACACCAUCUUCCACAGCACACAAUUUGCCUUCACAGGCAUAUCAUUGAUCAUUUGAUAAGCCUCUGAAACUUUCCCACAGAGGCAGAGCAUAUCUACCAUGCACCCAUAGUGCUUCACACCCGGCACAAUUUUGUAGUCUUCAGUCAUGCUACGAAAGUACACUCCCCUCAUCCACCAGGCCACUGUGGCUGCAGGCAAUCAAGACACCGACAAAUGUGACAUGGUCAGGCUCAACUCUCAUGGCAUUGAAGAGCUCCAGAGCCUCGCGUGAGUAGCCGUGGACCGACAACCCAACGAUCAUCGCAUUCCAGCACGUUAUGUCCCUGGUUGACAUGCUUUCGAAGACCUGCCUGGCAAGCUCUAGACUGCCACAUUUCACGUACAUAUCAACGAGCGCGUUGCCGACAUACCCGUCAGCCGCAACCCCCUUGCUGUCAAUGUAACUGUGGACACCCUUCCAGAGUUCCAGAUCGCCAAUCUCCGCGCAAGCCCCGAGAACUGACACAAGUGUGAGCUCGGUCGGUUCGACCCCACCGUCCUGCAUCUCCUGGAAGACCUCCAACGCUUGCGCACACCUCCCAAGCUUCGCAUAACCACCGAUCAGAGAGUUCCACGACACAGCAUUCCUGCCAGGCAUCUCCCUGAAGACUCUCGCUGCAGCCUCCAUAUCGCCAGCCCUCGCAUUCCGCAUGAUCUCGGCAUUCCAGCACGACACGCUCCUAUCCAUAUCUGGUGUUUCCCGACACACCCGCUCUGCACCCUGUGAGUCCCCCGCGGCACCGUGCGCGGCCACGAGCGCGUUCCAGGAUACGGUGUUCCUGGCAGGCAUCCCGUCGAACACCUUCCGGGCGUCCCCGAGCCGGCCCAGCUUGCCGUACAUGGACUCGAGCGCGUUCUGCACGUACCGGUCCGCGCCGCAGCGGAGCUUGAGCACGCGCCCGUGGAGCUCCAUGCCCUUGGAGACGAAGCCCUCUCCGCCGCCGGCAGCGGCGGCGCAGAGGCCGAAGGCGCGGGCGCAGGACUUGAGGAGAGCGGGGAAGGCGGGGAGCGGGGUGGGGAGGGAGAGCCUGGAGACGCGGUUGAAGACGGCGAGCGCGGCGGCUGGGGACGGCGAGGAGGCGAGAGCUGCGAUGGCCGGGGAGUAGAGCGGCGGGGAGAGCGCGCGCGGGGCGGCGGAGAGGAGGAGGGCGAGCGUCGACGCGGAGGAAGGCGGCAAGCGGGAGAGGAGCGCGCGGAGGGAGGCGGGGUCGUCGAGGAGCCCGUGCUUGCAGAGGUUGAAGGCGCGGGGAAAGCGGGGUGGGGAGGGAGAGCCUUGAGACGCGGCGAUGGCCGGGGAGUAGAGCGGCGGGGAGAGCGCGCGGGGGGCGACAGGGAGGGCUGCAGGCGGGAGAGGAGCGCCCGUCAUUUUCAAAAACAAAAUACUCUCUCCGUAAGAAUCUAUACAAUUCUAUACUUAUUUUGGAACGGAUGGAAUAAUAGAAAUUGAAAUAUAUAUACACGCACAUAAAACGUGAAAUUAUAAUCAUGCAAAGUAAUAUAUUUUACUCCCUCCAAUACAUAAUAAGUGUCGGGAUUUAGUACAAAAUUGCCAGGAAUACAGUACUUUCUCGAUCCAUAUCAAUUAGUUAUCUCCGAUUUAGUACAACUAAUGUCGCUCGGAGGGAGUUGGUAAUUUGCAAUUGAGUAAGAGGUUUUCCCCCUGAUGUCGACAUGAUGACACAACAAAUAUUAUACUAGAUCACCUCGAACCGCUUGCCGCACGCGCAACAAUUUUAUAUAUCUUGACUUGGACGACGCCUUCGCAACGCCCGCCAAGCUUUCCUGCCGCAUCAUCUCACCGUGACAUUAAUUUGUUGGCUUCACACCAACUAACCAUGAUGAUGAAGGCAUUGCACUUGCACCACCGCCGUCAGCCUCACAUCGACUCUCCUUGGGAUGAUGGUAUAGCACCAAAACGUUCCCAGUGGCAUCGCACCACCGCCGUCAGCCUCACAUCGACUCUCCUUGGGAUGAUGGUAUUGCACCGCCGUCCGUGCACCACUGCCAUGCAGCAGUAUCGCACCGCCGUCUCCACCGAGCAGCAUUGCACCGCCUGCUCGACGAUACGAAGGUCAUGGCCGCCGGUGAACCGAGUCCUCGGAGGCCGGAGUGCUCUUAGGUCGGCCUCCUCCCUUUUUUCUCGGGAGCUCCACUACGUACACCGUGUUUGCCGUUUUUGUCUUCGUAACAUCACAGACACCAAAGACCGUUGGAUGGCUCUGAUACCAAUUGUUGAAGCUGAGUAUCUCAACUCCUCUUCUUCUUCUACCUCUUAACUCUCUUCUCUCAUGAACACGCACACAAGAUCAAAAAGCUUAGAACACACGCAUACGCAUGCGCACACACUCACCCAGGAGGAGAAACAAUGGCUUUGCCGGGAACCAUUUUCUUCUUGGUGUAACAUAUGGGCUACAUAGUUUCUUUUGCCCUCACAGCCAUCUUUUCUCUUUCAUUUACUCAAACUUAAAUAGGCAGUGCUCCCUUCGUUCCUCGAAAGAGCGCACAUUAAUUUUCAUUAAGACAAGGCUUUGACUGCAAAUUACUAUGUCAAGAUGUGAUUUAUAUGACAUGAAAUUAGUAUUGUUAUAUAAGUUAUCAAAAGUAUUUUUUCUUUUGAAUCGGGAAACCCACUGUAACCAAGCCGGCUCGGCUCGGUUACUUUGGGGUGAAAACCUGCCGCUAUCAAGUUCAAAAGCUAUCCUAGUCACAGUUCGCAGUCGAAGUUUCGCAAAGCACUUCAGGCUUUUUACAUACCCACACAGGGGCCAAAUGACAUAUGCAGAACAGCUAGCAGUUUAUUAGGAAGUCACGGUAGUAGUAAGUCGUAGCGCGGCCUCAGUCGCCAGCCGCGCAGCCUGGUGAUGACGCCGCAGCUGAAUUGUAACAUGCAUAAGUUCAGUCACACCAUCCUUGAUCCCUUGCUUCAUCUUCUGGUCCUUCUGCAGCUCAGCCCAAUAUUGGAGGAAAGAACAAAGUAAAAACACAACAACAAUAGGCCAGUGAUGGACAACUUUCUUUUCGAAGCAGACGACAUUUCCCAUCAACCCCCGAGGCCCUCUCCUGGGCCGGUCCACCUGAUACACGUGCCCCCACCCUCGCUCCCGUUCCACGCCGCCUCCCCUCACUCCCGAUCCACGCCACCCUCACUCGCUCCCUAUCCACGCCGCCUUCGCUCGCCUCUGAUCCAUGCCGAGGUGGGCGCUGCCGCAGCAGGCGCGGUGCGUGUCCCGGCCAUGGGCUCCUCCCGCGCCGAGUUUGCUGGCGUGGAGUGAUGGGUUCGUUGCAUGGAAAACAAAAAAAAAAUUCUAUGAGAAGUGCGGAAGAAACCCAAGAUCAUAUCUACUAGAUGUAAGUAACGAGAGAAAUAAUGAGCAUCAUACCCUCGUAGACCACAAAGCGUUACGAUCACGGGAUCGUUGUUGGCGUAGUGGAACUUUCGAUGAGAUCAAUCUCAGUGCCGAACCGACGGCACCUCCUUGGUAUCCCCACGUUCAACUUCACGUCGUCUCCUCCUUCUUGAUCCAGCAAGCGAGGGAAAGAGGUUGAUGAGAUUUCAGCAGCACGACGGCGUGGUGGUGGCUAUGGUGGAGAGAGAGGAGGAGGAGAGGGGCUCAGGGGAGAGAGAUCCAGCUGAGGGCUUGGUGUGUUCUCUCCCCAUGCCCCUCCCUUCUAUUUAUUAUAAGGGGUGGGGGCCAGGUUUGCCCCUCCUCCAAGAAGGGGCUAGGCCCGGCCAGAGGUCUCCGGACCAUUCCGAAGCUCCUCGUGAUGUGCUAAUCCCAUCCGAGACUCCGAAUCAAUAUUCGAUAUCACCAUCUAUUUAUCUCAUCGAACCCUAGCGACGUAAAGCGUUAAGUGUGUGACCCUACAGGUUCGAGAACAUGUGGACUUGACCGAGACACCUCUCCAUCAAUAACCAAUAGCGGGACCUGGAUGUCCAUAAUGGUUCCCACAUAUUUCAUGAAGAUCUCAUCGGUUGAACCACGAUGUCGAGGAUUCAAUUAAUCCGGUAUCCAAUUCCCUUUGUCUCGCGAUAUAUUACUUGCCCGGGAUUUGAUCGCCGGUAUCAUCAUACCUAGUUCAAUCUCGUUACCGGCAAGUUCUCUUUACUCCUACCGCAAUAUAAUAUCCCCUGUGACUAAACACAUAAGUCACAUGCUUGCAAGCUCAUUAGGAUGUUAUAUUACCGAGAGGGCCCAGAAAUAUCUCUCCGUCACAUGGAGUGACAAAUGCCAAUCUUGAUCCAUACAACCCAACAAGCACCUUCCGAGAUACCUGAAGAACACCUUUAUGAUCAGCCGGUUACGAGAUGACGGUUGAUAUUCACAAAGUAUUCUUCUAGUACUAGGGAGUGGCAUGAUCUCAUGGUCUAAGGAAAUGAUACUUGACAUAAUAAAAUCAUUAGCAAUUUAAACUUAAGUGACACGAUCAAAAGCCAUGCUUAGGUUUGGGUCCGUCCAUCACAUCAUUCUCCUAAUGAUAUGACCUCGUUAACAAAUGACAACACAUGUCUAUGGUUAGGAAACCUUAACCAUCUUUUAAUCAACGAGCUAAUCUAGUAGAGGCGUAUUAGGGACACAGUAUUUGUUUAUUUAUUCAGAUAUGUAUUUAGUUUCCUAUCAAUAAAAUUAUAGCAUGGAUAAUAAACAUUUAUCAAGAACAAGAAAAUAUGAUAAUAACAAAUUUAUUAUUGCCUCUAGGGCAUAUUUCCAACACGGAGGUGACCGGGUCUUCGUCCUCCAUGGCCGGCCGUUGAAGAUCCGGUGGCAGCCGUUUCCCCCUUCGCUUCUGCACGGCAUGAUAGCAUCUGGAACCGACGGUGACGCGCGUCUCGGCAGCGGCAACGGCCAGAUGAUCUGAAAUUUCAUUGAUUUGAUUUCUCCCCACACCAUGGCGACCGCAGCGGAACCCGACGACCUUGACCGUGAGCGCUUCCCCGACAUCACUGCCGGCCAUGCCACCGUCUCCUUCUUCGUCGGUUCUACUACAAGAGCUUCAGAGGGCGACCCGCUCCAUGGCAGGGGCCCUCCGGCGAGGUCGGCCGUGCGGAGCAAGCAGAUAAUGCCCGCCGCCUCGGCCUCUGUCUUUGCCACCGCGAUACAGGACUCAUCGUUAGAUACCAGGGCGCCACUGCCCGCCGCCUUUAGAUUAAACUGGUUAACAAGUUGUGUGUAGGGAAAAGUAGAUCUCGCCUGCCGCAUUUCCGGGUGAACCAUGCUACAUGUCAUCUGCCAUUCAUCCAUACAUGCGGUGGACGUGUGUUGCUGGCGGUGUGCUGCCUGAAAAUUACCUUUGAUUUUUUACCCGUGGUAAAAGAAAACAGUCCCGUGGAGGAAGGGUAAACAGAAAAGGAAAAUGUUUUUCGUAUUUCCGAUAAUAGAACUUUUCAUGAUGACCCAUGGGAACCUGUCUGUGUGCUUCAGAUAAUUAGCAGCAUGGUAUGGUAAUUGCGAAACUCCGAUAUUAAUUUGAAAAGGGCCACAUUAGCGUGUGCCGGUAAGAGUGAAAAGAUGACUUUUGGGGAACGAUUGUACCGACCUGAAAAAAUGACUUUUGGGGAACGAAAAAAAGUUAUGGCCGAAGCCCAAGUAUCUGCUGUACCUUUUUGAAAAAUUGGACAGUCAUCCUGGGCGGCUGCAAAAAGAAAAUGCCCCGACAACUUGUUUCGGCCCAGCUGGGAUCUCCUGUACCGAUUUGAAACAGGCAACGGGAACUUGGGCUGUGACAAAUUCAAAACAUAAAAAUAAUAAUUAAACUCCGGUGUGGAAACCUGUGCCGGCCCAUGUUUGAGCAGGCCGGACUAGGAACCAAAAAGCAACAAUCUUUGUCAGCGGACUCGCAGGAAUACCGGACUAUACGGUAUAGAGUGGGUAUUGUACUAAUAUAAACCGGCGCAGGUUUGACCAUGAUGGAAAAAUGAAGGUACAUGAUACCAGGAGCCCUCGAUACCACGAGCCAUUAGGAAUUUUUGCAUAUCUCACAGCAAACACCCAUGCACAUAAGUGAGUUGCAACAUACAUUAUUAACUAACAUGCACAUGUCAACAUUAUUAACCACACCAGCAUGUGGAAGUCCGGGUCUUCAGGCUUCACUGUAUGCAGUUGUGAGUCUUGCGAUCACCAAAAAGAAAAGGACUUGUCUCAAGUCUUGCGAUCGAACUGAUAAAUAAUCAAACAAUAAUCAACUCAAUUUGCACAUAUAGAUUUAGAGUUAACGUGGCUGGGGUGGCUAACCAGGCAAAAAUUAAUUUUAAGCUAUUCCGUUCCAGUUCACACAUGCUUGCACCUUCUCUCUCUUUUAGAACCCAUCUGGUAGAUCGUGUCUCUCAAUCUUCUAAUAUAAACUUUCUUAAAAAGUAGGCCUGCGGGGGAAAGAAACCCCGGAUAUCCCCACCCAUACACCGCGGUGCCAUGUGAGAUCAAAACCGGUCUUAAACAUGUGCUAUGGUAUGGGACAUAUGAGGGGAUUUUUUUAACACUUUGACCUUAAAUUUGCUCCUAGGAGGAGUCGAAACCCAGCACCAAAAGAGUAUUACUAGAGCCUCUGGCCAUUAAGCUAGAAGCUCGUUCGCUAGUUCCUUAUAAUUUAAUAGGUUUUCUGUAAAGAAAAGGAGGACGUGAUAAAUAAAUAAAUAAAACGACCACUUGCCGGGGCUGCUCUUCGUCUAGUCAACUUGUAACUAAUCAUGCUUUUUAAGUACGCACGCAUCGACUGAAUUGAAUAAACUGACAAAUGUAAAUUUCAAACAAGACGCAGCUAGCGCUGCAGUACAGUUACUGUAAGAUGCAUGCCUGCAUAUGUGGGGAUGUGGGAGUCGGGCUGUGAGUUGUCGAUCGCCAAAAAGAAAAAGAAAAAAAAGACUUGGUCUUAAGUCUUGCGAGAGCUACUUGCACAUGUAGCUGGCUGUAAAAAAAAAAAAGAAAAAGAAAGAAAACUUGCACAUGUAGAUUUACAGUUGACGUUGCUGGGGUGGCUAACUUACACAUGUAGAUUUACAUGUAGGACAACCAAGCAAAAAUUAAUAUUGAGCUUUUCCAGUUCACACAGUUGUGAUGUGGAACUAAUUGACAACAGAAUAUACAGUAUCAACUCAACACUUGCCUCUGGCGCCUAUUUAAUUUGGCCGGGUGCCGAGGUACCUAGGACAAGCAAGCAGGCUAUUAUUGUAGUAAGCUGGUAGUACCGUCUGUCUAGCUAGCUUCUGCUAAGCGGAGAGGAGAGGAGAAGGCCGUCGAUCGACGGACGGCAAUGGCGGAGACGGUGAUCACGUCGGUUCUGUCCAAGUGCAGGGAGGUGGCGACGCAGGAGAUUCUGCGGGAGGCCAAGGUGCUCCUCCAGGUGGGAGAAGACAUCAUGCUGCUCCGCGACCGCCUGGAGUGGCUGCAGGCAUUCGUCCGCGACGCCGACCGGAAGCGCCGCGUCGGCGCCGACGACCUCACACGCAUCUGGGUGCGCCAGACGCGUGACGUCGUCUUCCAAGCCGAGGACGUGCUCGACGAGUUCUUCCAUAAGGUCAUUCGUGCUUUCCGGCAGUAGAAUCUACCAGCGUCCACGACUAUAAAUUAGUUUGACAUAUUUUCAUAAUAUAUACUUAUUUGACAUUCUAUUAUGAACUCGGUUAAAGGACAAAGCUAGGAGUACUACGUAUAUCCAGGAACGGAGGCAGUGCUAAUUAAUCUCUCUAUAUAUAGGUAGAAAAGUAGAUGCUCCAUGGUGCCUGAGUUCAAUGUUUUCAAUUCCAGAAAUCCAAAGCAUAUAUAGGUUGAUUUUUCCGUACUACCGGAUACAGUAAUUCCCACGUACUUUUCACAAAUUAGAGAGUAUGCAACAUGAAGUAUAUAGGUAGUAUGCAUACAUAAUCUUUCUUUAGGAAGUAUAUGAAGUCAGUGGCGGAUCUAGAUUUUUGAAACAGGGUGGUCCAAUGUAUAAACUUUUAUUCCAAUAUAAAUUAUAAACAGCAAUUUUUUACCUCAAACAUACUAGUAGUAUUGAAUUUGGGAAGAAAAAAAAGGACAUUGGAAUUUUUUUUGCGAUAAUUUCAAUUUGAUCAAUGAGCAAAUAUUAAUUCGAUUCAACGAAAGACCGAGAAAAAUGUCGCCGGCUCCGUGUAAGCUGAUGCCCCGUCGCAUGUUCGCUGUGAUGAAGCGUAUGUUUGCUGUCCGCUGGCAGUCAGCGACGAUGAUGACGAGAAAUACGAUGCGAUGUUAGCUUCUCAUGCUCGUAUGCUCGGCAAAAAUACGAUACGAUGCCAACUGCUCGUGAUCGAUCGCUAGGCUGCUUCAAGGCCAGAUCUGAUGUGGUGAUGCGUACACUACACAAUAGAAAGAAAACAAAAACUGGCCGGAAAGAUGGAUUAUUUGCUCGGAAUGAUUUUUCUUUUUUGAUGGGUUUAAGAUACACUAGUGUAUAUGUAUACGUCUACGGUCUGUAUUUCCAGGGUGGUCCACCCUAUGGAUCCGCGGGUGUACGAAGUUUUCUUAACAUACUCUAUUAUAUCGGUUUUGCUAUCUCUUAGACGACUCAGAAAUAACUAUUUCUUAGUCGAUGAUAACAAUCUUUUGAUUCAAUUAUUGAGAUUCGUGUAAGAUUAAUGUAGGUCCGAUGGAUAAAAAAAUCUUCAUUGGAUGGUUACGAUCGUCGACUAAAAAAUAACUAUAUUUCUGAGGCGUGCGACUGAGAAAUAGACACUCCCCUAUUAUAUGUACAAAUAUUAAAGUAUCUCUAAAACAUAUAAAUCCUAUGUACCAGUUUGCAAUUUUUUGAUGUUGUUCGUUUUGAACAAAUAUUUUUAAAACAAAAAAGGAUAAUAUGUACUACCGCAUAGUGGUAUAUGGAGUCUUUUUUCACAUAGAACAUAGUAUAUAGGACGACUUUUUCAUACUACCGAAUGUAGUACACGCACAUACUUUUCACACAAAUUGGAGAGUACGUAGAGUAACAGGGAAUAUUGUAGUAUAAAGUAUAUAGGUAGUAUGUAGAACAUAGCAUACAUACUUUUUUUAAGGAAGUUAGUAUUAUGGAGUUUUCUUUAACAUACUCUUCAAAUAUGAAGGUACUUCUAAAAUAUAUUAAAGCUAUGUACCAAUUUGUAAUUUCUCAUUUUUUCGCUUGAAGUUUCUUAGAAAUAGUAUACGAAUAUAUUAAAAAUGAUAAAGUACAAUAUAUACUACCACACAUGUUAGUAUAUGGACUUUUGUUUAACAUACAACAUAAUAUAUAGGACAUUUUUUUCCCGUACUUCUGGGUUAGUUACACAAAUUAGAGAGUAUAUAGCGUAACAGGGAGUAUGUAAUUUGUAGCCUCUGUGAAAUAUAUAAGCAGUAUGUAGGACAUAGUAUACAUAAUGAUUUUGAAGAAGCAUAUGGAGUUGUUUUUUAACAUGCUUGGUUAUAUGUACAAAUAUGAAGAUAUUUUCUAAAAUAUAUUGACAUAUGUACCAAUUUGCAAAAACAUGAUAGCCUUUGGAAGUAUACGGAGUUUUUCCAUGUACCAAUUUGUACCCAUCCUCAAUAGGAGGAGGCGAAGCUCUGCGCUAGCAGAGUAAGCGCAUUAGUACUCGACAUGUUCCUACCCGAAUCCUGUGACGUGCACUAAUUGUGUAUUUGCAUGUGUUUGUACCGCCUGUUCUCUUUUGGUCUCUGUAAAUACUCUUCCAUCUUUUCAAUACAACGAGUCAUGAUGUUUUUGCAUUUUCUCGAAAAAUAUAUUCAACAAAUAUGUAAAAGUUGUAUACAACUCUGACAGUUACUAGGAGAUGGAAGACAACCUUCUGUGAAAAAACACUUCUCCGAUAGUUCGUUUCUUUACCCUUUUUAAGAAGGUUGUACUCCUUCCUUUCGUCAAUAGAUGAUGUUUUGGACACAAAUGUGGUAUCCGAUAUACUCUAGUAUAACUUUGACCGCUAUUUUCAUUGAAUAUGCUGCUGAAAAUUUAUAAAACUGUUUACAAAUACAAUGAUAUUGGUUUCACAUCACCAAACUAAAUACAGUAUCGAUCUCUUAGUACAAUGCUAUGAGGCAAAGUUAGGGAAGUUUGACUGCACAUAUCCUAGUGCGUUGUGCGUGCGUCGUAUGUAUAGUGAUCAAGGGAAGUUUGACUGCACAUAUUCUAGUACGUCAUAUGAUGCAGUAAUCACUAAUCACAGAUUUACAGGUGUUCUUGAUGUUGGGUCUGAACAAUUCAACUCUUUUUGUUAUUUAUUUUCCGUUGGGUGAUCUUUGUAGCAACCUUGUGUGAUCUUUAAACGUAAACCUGAUACUUUCAGAACAUUUUGUGAUAAAAUGGUUGGUAGUAGUAACAUGGUCAUUCCUUUCCAUACAAAUUGCACAUGCUGCUAGCUAGUUCUAUACUUCCAUGGUUCAAUAUUUGUCUUCCCUUUGUUAAAUAUUUGAGUAUUUAUGUUUGCGUUCAUCACCGCAAAUCAUGUUAUGCAUCAAAUCUAAGUGUUUGAUGAAAUUUUUACAGAAGAAAACUAUAGCUGGGAACAUGCACGCGUUUCUGACCGCACUGCAUCCAACAUCUUUUUGUAGAUGUGCAAUCUAAAUCAAUCUGUAGUGUGUAACUCAUGCAUUAUUUUUUCUGGUAAAUAUAUAACAGAUAGACAUAGAAAGCAAGCUUUAUCAAGGCCCACGAAAAUGGCUCGCAUACUUGACUGACAUGGGGACCCAGAUCACUGUUCGACAUUGGUUGUCUAGUCAAAUCAAUAAAAUCAAGAGCAGACUCGACCAAAUCUCGAAGAACCAAAAGGAAUUCAACAUCGGCCAUACGCCAUCAGGUAUAUGGACAUCUGCCAACACGGACCACACGGACCCUGUAUCAUGGUACGUACUAAUUACCAACUAUACUUAUUAUCUGAUAUGCACGUAUUCUAGGACGCAAUAUAUGAAGAGAGUAAAUUGACCAUUACAAAUUUACAGGUUUGUUUGAUGUUGAUUUACGAACACUUCAACUUUGUUUCAGGUUGUUUCUUACUUGUUGGUACUAGUAACAUGGCCAUUUCCUGUCCAACAAAAUACAUGCCGGCCACUAAUUUUGUGAUUCAAAUUCAAUGUGUUUUUUUAGAGAUGACUUGACUACCAACAAAGAAAUAAAAACAAUUUCUAUCUUCCCAUUGUUAAUCCAAAUUAAGUUUUAGCAAUAUGACUACUAACUGAAAUUCAAAUUUACAUUCGUGUUCACCACAAAUUGAUCUAGUUUUAUGCUGCAAAUCUAAUAAGUAUAUCAGGAAAAUGUUAUAGGCAAAAAAAAAACUGUAGCUAGCAACAUGUGUUUCUGACCGUAUAGCACUGCAUCAAACAUCUUUUUGUAGUAUGCAAUCAUUUAAGUCAAUUAAUCUUUUCUUCUUUUGUGUGAAAAGAAGGCGAUUUGGUUAUAUUGAUCCGGUAAUAAUGACAGUACUUAAUGAACAGGGAGGAACUACAGAAGGUCGUGGGCUUUGAGAAGGAUGUGGAGAGACUUGUGGAACUACUGCGUCGUGAAGAUCAUCCCCAGAAAAUGUUCAUCUCCAUACUGGGGGAGAGUGGUGUCGGAAAGUACAGGCUCAUAAAGCAAACAGUCAUUACUGUGUCUGAUAGUUUCAACAUCGUAGUCCAAUUUAUAAUGCCGCGAGGUUGCAGCGUGGAAGAUGCCCUCAGAGAAGUCUACCGGAUAGCACUUGAUCCAACAAAGAGACAAGGCAGUGUAUCUCGUGAGGCAGGCAUUGCCGAUGUUGUUAAAGAGCUCCGUCUCCUUCUGGCUGACAAGAGGUACCUGCUGAUUCUCGUUGGCGUAUCCUCAAAAAUCUUCCUGAAUUGCAUGGCGGCGAGCUUGCCAGAUGGCAAGAGGGGCAGCUGGGUGCUGCUCGUAUUGGAGCCUGAAAGCAAGGAAGUCGCGUGCCAUGCGGCUACGCUGAACCUGAAGGACAUCAACGGCACCCGCUACCAGUUAGGCCGCUUGGAUAAAGAAAAGAGUGGACAUCUGUUCCGUUGCAGGGUCUUUGGCUCCCAGGGAGAGAAGUUGGUCCAGGCACACCCACGAUCCGAAGAG